rnacentral:rRNA from 1 species
AACGAACGCUGGCGGCGUGGAUAAGACAUGCAAGUCGAACGGGACUUUUUCUGGUAGCAAUACCGGAAAAAGUCUAGUGGCGAACGGGUGCGUAACACGUGGACAAUCUGCCUUAAAGUGGGGGAUAGCUCGGCGAAAGCCGAAUUAAUACCGCAUGUGAUGAGGGAAGACAUCUUUCCGAAAUCAAAGCCGGGGCAACCUGGCGCUUUUUGAGGAGUCCGCGGCCUAUCAGCUUGUUGGUGAGGUAACGGCUCACCAAGGCUAUGACGGGUAGCUGGUCUGGGAGGACGACCAGUCACACUGGAACUGAGACACGGUCCAGACACCUACGGGUGGCAGCAGUCGAGUAAUUUUCUCAAUGGGGGAAACCCUGAAGGAGCGACGCCGCGUGGAGGAUGAAGGUCUUCGGGUUGUAAACUCCUGUCAUUUGAGAACAAGGUGCACACAGUAACUACGUGGGCAUUGAUAGUAU